CUUGCCAAUUUUGAUAGUAGGUAACCUUGUGAAGAUGUUUGUUAAACUGCAAGGAGUUAAGGUAUGUUGAUUCAGUUAUUAUAAGGAUACUUUUAAUAGGUGGAUUUGUUGUAGCAGCAAUGUUGCAGCAGGAGCAGGAAACCUGCAACGACAACUUAACGUGCUUAUUAUAUACGUUCAUAAAAACAUGAUUCUCUUGGUAGCAAUAAUAUACGCUCUCUGUGAGAGAAUAAUCUUAUAUGUUGAAUGUAGGGAUAUAUUUAACCUCUAUAAGAAAUUCCAAAUAAUGCUAUUGGUCGUGAACUUGAGAAAUCAAGGUAUAACAAGAGUUUGUAGUACAAGUAGCCAAAAGGACUAGAAUAUUAGAAAAUAAUAAAGCUUUUCUGAAAAACUGGUGAAAGUUAGAGGUAGUCAAUCCUCUUCAAGUUUUUAGUGUUGUUGCACUAUUGUAAAAUACGGGGCAAGAAGCAUUGGGGUAGCUCCUUAAUGCUCAGACUUGUCUUCUUGGUGGUUGAAUAUAUGAGAAGUAUGUAAUCGGUAAGGUGAAGACCUACCUGCUAUUUUCACAUGGA
rnacentral:ncRNA from 1 species